rnacentral:rRNA from 1 species
GAUGAACGCUGGCGGCGUGCCUAAUACAUGCAAGUCGAGCGAACAGACGAGGAGCUUGCUCCUCUGACGUUAGCGGCGGACGGGUGAGUAACACGUGGAUAACCUACCUAUAAGACUGGGAUAACUUCGGGAAACCGGAGCUAAUACCGGAUAAUAUAUUGAACCGCAUGGUUCAAUAGUGAAGGACGGUUUUGCUGUCACUUAUAGAUGGAUCCGCGCCGCAUUAGCUAGUUGGUAAGGUAACGGCUUACCAAGGCGACGAUGCGUAGCCGACCUGAGAGGGUGAUCGGCCACACUGGAACUGAGACACGGUCCAGACUCCUACGGGAGGCAGCAGUAGGGAAUCUUCCGCAAUGGGCGAAAGCCUGACGGAGCAACGCCGCGUGAGUGAUGAAGGUCUUCGGAUCGUAAAACUCUGUUAUUAGGGAAGAACAAAUGUGUAAGUAACUAUGCACGCCUUGACGGUACCUAAUCAGAAAGCCACGGCUAACUACGUG